rnacentral:rRNA from 1 species
AUUGACCGCUGGCGGCAGGCCUAACACAUGCAAGUCGAACGAGUGGCGGACGGGUGAGUAACGUCUGGGAAACUGCCUGAUGGAGGGGGAUAACUACUGGAAACGGUAGCUAAUGCCGCAUACCAUCGGAUGUGCCCAGAUGGGAUUGGCUAGUAGGUGGGGUAAAGGCUCACCUAGGCGACGAUCCCUAGCCGGUCUGAGGGGAUGACCGGCAACACUGGAACUGGAACACGGUCCAGACUACUACGGGAGGCAGAAGUGGGGAAUAUUGCAAAAUGGGCGCAGGCCUGAUACGGAAAUGCCGCGGAUAUGAGGAGGGCCUUCGGGUUUAAAAGUACUUUCAGCGGGGAGGCGUUACCCGCAUAAGAAGCACCGGCUAACUACGUGCCAGCAGCCGCGGUAAUUC